rnacentral:rRNA from 1 species
UACGAAGGGUGCAAGCGUUACUCGGAAUUACUGGGCGUAAAGCGUGCGUAGGUGGUUUGUUAAGUCUGUUGUGAAAGCCCCGGGCUCAACCUGGGAAUGGCAAUGGAUACUGGCAAGCUAGAGUGCGGUAGAGGGUAGUGGAAUUCCCGGUGUAGCGGUGAAAUGCGUAGAGAUCGGGAGGAACACCAGUGGCGAAGGCGGCUACCUGGACCGACAUUGACGCUGAGGCGCGAAAGCGUGGGGAGCAAACAGG